AGUAAUGCGUUCAAUAAUAAAUUCGAACGAAUUUGAAAUAAGGUUCUAAUGGUCAAUAAGUUUCAAUAAAUUUCAAUCAGGUCAACACGUUUACUCUAACUUUAUAGUUUACUCUCUUGCAAUCAUGUAUGAAUAGGUCCAAUUAGUUCAAUUCGGAUCAAUCAAGUAUUCAAAACUCUCGAUCUGGCACUUUCUUUCUCUUCGAUCCCCUCCAAAUCUCAGGCAAUGUGGAAUCCUUCCUCAAGGUAACAUCAAAGCUGAAGCAUGGAGCAACUGACGAUGAUUACACAGAAUAAGCUGCAGUUGACCUGGUAGUGAAACUCAUUGCUGCAUCCUUCCUACCCUACCAAAGAGUUCUCUGAGCUAAUUUUUUAUAUUCAAGCUGACAUGAUUUCUGUCAUCCCAGAUCCUGGUUGAUGGAUUUUGGUCCAGUCAUAUUAUCAGGAACAAGUCAUGUUUUAUAGUCUGUUAUCUUUUCUUUGCAUCUCAAAUUUCUACUAUACUUUUUUAAACCUUUUGCUAGCGUUUUUGGUAUUGUGGCAACUAGUCUGCUACUAGUGAGCUCUUUAGGUUGUUUUUUUGUGCCUAUUUUAGUUUCAGGUUGUUCGUAAAUUCACAUUCAGGUUGCAAUUCGUGAAGACUGUGCAUAUUGUUAGUGUUAUUGAUAUGCAGACUGAAAGCUUCUCUGGUAAAAUUGAUACACUUAGUUUCAGAUAAAUAGAUUGAUAUACUUAGUUUCAUUCUCUCUUUUCUCUGUUCUAUUUCUUCCCCUACUGGUUCUUAUUUUUCCCGCCUAAUUGUAUCUGCAAGUAGGCUUAGUACACUGUGAGAUUCACCCUUAUCAGAAUUGUGUAGAUUAAAGAAGUGUGCUUUUAUCCACUUUGUGUAUGCUUUCGUCUUGUAUUCACUUCAAUAAAAUAAAUAUUACGGAGUACCUGCUAAUUAGUAUUUGUCAUUUAUCUUGGGUGUCAGACUGCAUCACUUGAGCUCUAAAUAUGGUAUCAUUAAGCUCAGAUAAUGCAGAAUUUUACUGUAUGAAGUGCAAACUUAAUCAAUCAGGUAAAUAUGUAGCUUAAUGUAUAACUGUAUAAGCAACAAAUGACCACUUUGUCUUUUGUUUGUUUGGGAAACAGGUUAGUAGAUCAUGUUAGCCGCACCCCAUAAGUUAAAACUGAUUUACUUAAUAUUCUUCUGAUAUUUAAUUGUCUUUUUGAGCUUCUUAUUGAACGGUAAAUUUUAUUCACUUAUUGCAGGGAAAAUGGUUCCUCCAAAUGCAAAAGUGGUUCAUUCCAAUGAGAAAAUGGAUCUUCCAACCUUCGUUGCCGAGAUCUAAAAGGAACUAUGUGCCACCUCUUGCAAGAGGACAUGUACAAAGCUUAGAACAAUUGUAUUCUUUCCAAAGACAAGCUUAAUACUGUUAAUUCCAUUGUAAUCAAGUAUAUAAUACAUUCAUACUCCUGUAUCAUAGUUGUAUUUUGUUUUCAUUGGAUAUCAGUAUGUCACAUAUAUCAUUCCCUUUUAUAUCA